UUUAAACUUUAAGGUAGUGACGGAUAGCAACCACGUGAUCAGUAAAAAUUGUGUAUUUUCACGUGAAUUCAUUUUCCGGAAUUUCUUUCUCCGUCAUAGAAUAGUCGAAAAACAAAAAGGGGUUCCGAAAGUGUUUGUUGCUGUGACUGACUCGCCUAGAGAAAAUAUGCACGUACCACAUAAGUAUACGUCAAUAUCUGUAAUAAUGGUAGAUCAAAUGUUUCAUCUGUGUGAAACUUUUUGCUAAUCGAAAUGUUAAACCAACCACCAAUCCAUGUACAUAGAUGCGCUACGUAAACAAAGUUGUUGGUUGAUACAUCGUAAUGUCCGAGUGCAGCAUGCUGCGAGAUUAAAUACUGUUUAUACAGUCAUUGAGAGGCUAAACAAAGUUUCUUGCAAGAAGAGGAAGUUGGUGGAUGCAUUCAACUUGGACAAUGAACUCAUAGUUUCGUUUGGCAUCAGUCCGAGGACCAAGGGAGGUUAGAUAGGACCAGUGCAGGUUGAUGUGGAUUUCAAGUCAACAAGUAUAACAGCAAGAGAGGUACUCCAUUUACAGUGAUGAUGACAUAUCUCCUGGACCCCCACAACUCCACAAAUUUAAAAAUGUUUGAUCAAGUUCCGAAGAUUAAAGAACUACCGCAAAAUUUGGGACUUGGAUGAAAAACGUUAAUUCACUUAUAUGAGCUCAGAGCAGUGGAUGUUGUACAACAUACUUUAAACUAAAUUGUGAAUUUGAGGGAAAACAAGUACAUGUACUCGUGUAUUACAUGUACAUGCCUUUUGAAAGACAAUAAUAUUGCAUAGAUGUAAAGGAAAUUUCAAUGUUGAUUAUUCUUUCUUAGAUAUAUUAGUAAAAAAUGUGCACAUGAUAGAAUAUCAAUUUUAUAACUUCAAUCAAUGUGUUUGAA